CCUACGGGAGGCUGCAGUGGGGAAUAUUGGACAAUGGGGGGAACCCUGAUCCAGCCAUGCCGCGUGUGUGAAGAAGGCCCUCGGGUUGUAAAGCACUUUCAGUGAGGAAGAACGCCUGGUGGUUAAUACCCAUCAGGAAAGACAUCACUCACAGAAGAAGCACCGGCUAACUCCGUGCCAGCAGCCGCGGUAAUACGGAGGGUGCGAGCGUUAAUCGGAAUUACUGGGCGUAAAGCGCGCGUAGGUGGCUUGAUAAGCCGGUUGUGAAAGCCCCGGGCUCAACCUGGGAACGGCAUCCGGAACUGUCAAGCUAGAGUGCAGGAGAGGAAGGUAGAAUUCCCGGUGUAGCGGUGAAAUGCGUAGAGUUCGGGAGGAAUACCAGUGGCGAAGGCGGCCUUCUGGACUGACACUGACACUGAGGUGCGAAAGCGUGGGUAGCAAACAGGAUUAGAUACCCCGGUAGUC
rnacentral:rRNA from 1 species